UACAGAGGGUGCGAGCGUUAAUCGGAAUUACUGGGCGUAAAGCGCACGUAGGCGGUUUGUUAUGUCGGAUGUGAAAGCCCUUGGCUCAACUGAGGAAGUGCAUCCGAAACUGGCAAGCUAGAGUACUAAAGAGGGUCGCGGAAUUCCCGGUGUAGCGGUGAAAUGUGUAGAGAUCGGGAGGAACACCGGUGGCGAAGGCGGGUCUCUGGGCAUUUCCUGACGCUGAGGCGCGAAAGCGUGGGGAGCAAACGGG
rnacentral:rRNA from 1 species